CCUACGGGAGGCUGCAGUGGGGAAUAUUGGACAAUGGGGGGAACCCUGAUCCAGCCAUGCCGCGUGUGUGAAGAAGGCCCUCGGGUUGUAAAGCACUUUCAGUGAGGAAGAACGCCUGGUGGUUAAUACCCAUCAGGAAAGACAUCACUCACAGAAGAAGCACCGGCUAACUCCGUGCCAGCAGCCGCGGUAAUACGGAGGGUGCGAGCGUUAAUCGGAAUUACUGGGCGUAAAGCGCGCGUAGGUGGCUUGAUAAGCCGGUUGUGAAAGCCCCGGGCUCAACCUGGGAACGGCAUCCGGAACUGUCAAGCUAGAGUGCAGGAGAGGAAGGUAGAUUUCCCGGUGUAGCGGUGAAAUGCGUAGAGAUCGGGAGGAAUACCAGUGGCGAAGGCGGCCUUCUGGACUGACACUGACACUGAGGUGCGAAAGCGUGGGUAGCAAACAGGAUUAGAUACCCUUGUAGUC
rnacentral:rRNA from 1 species